rnacentral:rRNA from 1 species
ACAUGCCUACAACAUAGUGUUAAUGCACUAGAUCCCAUUAGAACUCUGCAGUUAAGAGCUCUCAGGCUAGAGUAGUACUGGGAUGGGUGACCACUCAGGAAGUCCUAGUGUUUUACAUGCC